rnacentral:rRNA from 1 species
CUUUACUGUAGCCUGGUAUUGGGUUCGGGCUUUGACUGCGCAGGAUAGGUGGGAGACUAUGAAGCUGCCCUUGUGGGGGCAGUGGAGUCAUCAGUGAGAUACCACUCUGUCAAGGCUAGAAUUCUAACCGUCUGCCGUUAUCCGGCGACGGAACAGUAUCAGGUGGGCAGUUUGACUGGGGCGGUCGCCUCCUAAAUGGUAACGGAGGCGCGCAAAGGUUCCCUCAGGCUGGUUGGAAAUCAGCCGAAGAGUGUAAAGGCAGAAGGGGGCUUGACUGCAAGAGCAACAACUCAAGCAGGGACGAAAGUCGGCCUUAGUGAUCCGACGGCGCUGAGUGGAAGGGCCGUCGCUCAACGGAUAAAAGUUA